rnacentral:rRNA from 1 species
GACGAACGCUGGCGGCGUGCUUAACACAUGCAAGUCGAACGGAAAGGCCCUGCUUUUGUGGGGUGCUCGAGUGGCGAACGGGUGAGUAACACGUGAGUAACCUGCCCUUGACUUUGGGAUAACUUCAGGAAACUGGGGCUAAUACCGGAUAGGAGCUCCUGCUGCAUGGUGGGGGUUGGAAAGUUUCGGCGGUUGGGGAUGGACUCGCGGCUUAUCAGCUUGUUGGUGGGGUAGUGGCUUACCAAGGCUUUGACGAGUAGCCGGCCUGAGAGGGUGACCGGCCACAUUGGGACUGAGGUACGGCCCAGACUCCUACGGGAGGCAGCAGUGGGGAAUAUUGCACAAUGGGCGGAAGCCUGAUGCAGCAACGCCGCGUGCGGGAUGACGGCCUUCGGGUUGUAAACCGCUUUCGCCUGUGACGAAGCGUGAGUGACGGUAAUGGGUAAAGAAGCACCGGCUAACUACGUGCCAGCAGCCGCGGUGAUACGUAGGGUGCGAGCGUUGUCCGGAUUUAUUGGGCGUAAAGGGCUCGUAGGUGGUUGAUCGCGUCGGAAGUGUAAUCUUGGGGCUUAACCCUGAGCGUGCUUUCGAUACGGGUUGACUUGAGGAAGGUAGGGGAGAAUGGAAUUCCUGGUGGAGCGGUGGAAUGCGCAGAUAUCAGGAGGAACACCAGUGGCGAAGGCGGUUCUCUGGGCCUUUCCUGACGCUGAGGAGCGAAAGCGUGGGGAGCGAACAGGCUUAGAUACCCUGGUAGUCCACGCUGUAAACGGUGGGUACUAGGUGUGGGGUCCAUUCCACGGGUUCCGUGCCGUAGCUAACGCUUUAAGUACCCCGCCUGGGGAGUACGGCCGCAAGGCUAAAACUCAAAGGAAUUGACGGGGCCCCGCACAAGCGGCGGAGCAUGCGGAUUAAUUCGAUGCAACGCGUAGAACCUUACCUGGGUUUGACAUGGAUCGGGAGUGCCCAGAGAUGGGUGUGCCUCUUUUGGGGUCGGUUCACAGGUGGUGCAUGGCUGUCGUCAGCUCGUGUCGUGAGAUGUUGGGUUAAGUCCCGCAACGAGCGCAACCCUUGUUCACUGUUGCCAGCACGUUAUGGUGGGGACUCAGUGGAGACCGCCGGGGUCAACUCGGAGGAAGGUGGGGAUGACGUCAAGUCAUCAUGCCCCUUAUGUCCAGGGCUUCACGCAUGCUACAAUGGCUGGUACAGAGAGUGGCGAGCCUGUGAGGGUGAGCGAAUCUCGGAAAGCCGGUCUCAGUUCGGAUUGGGGUCUGCAACUCGACCUCAUGAAGUCGGAGUCGCUAGUAAUCGCAGAUCAGCAACGCUGCGGUGAAUACGUUCCCGGGGCU